rnacentral:rRNA from 1 species
AAGGAAUAUUGGACAAUGGAGGCAACUCUGAUCCAGCCAUGCCGCGUGAAGGAAGACGGCCUUAUGGGUUGUAAACUUCUUUUAUACAGGAAGAAACCUUUCCACGUGUGGAAAGCUGACGGUACUGUAAGAAUAAGGAUCGGCUAACUCCGUGCCAGCAGCCGCGGUAAUACGGAGGAUCCAAGCGUUAUCCGGAAUUAUUGGGUUUAAAGGGUCCGCAGGCUGUUUGUUAAGUCAGAGGUGAAAUCCUACCGCUCAACGGUAGAACUGCCUUUGAUACUGGCAAACUUGAGUUAUUGUGAAGUAGUUAGAAUGUGUAGUGUAGCGGUGAAAUGCAUAGAUAUUACACAGAAUACCGAUUGCGAAAGCAGAUUACUAACAAUAUACUGACGCUGAGGGACGAAAGCGUGGGUAGCGAACAGG